rnacentral:rRNA from 1 species
UGGGGAAUUUUGCACAAUGGGGGAAACCCUGAUGCAGCGACGCCGCGUGAUUUAGAAGGCCUUCGGGUUGUAAAAAUCUUUUCUAUGGGAAGAAAAUGACAGUACCAUAGGAAUAAGGACCGGCUAAUUACGUGCCAGCAGCCGCGGUAAUACGUAAGGUCCGAGCGUUGUCCGGAAUCAUUGGGCGUAAAGGGUACGUAGGCGGGUAAGCAAGUUAGAAGUGAAAUCCUAUAGCUCAACUAUAGUAAGCUUUUAAAACUGCUCAUCUUGAGGUAUGGAAGGGAAAGUGGAAUUCCUAGUGUAGCGGUGAAAUGCGUAGAUAUAUGGAGGAACACCGGUGGCGAAAGCGGCUCUCUGGUCUGUAACUUACGCUGAGGCUCGAAAGCGUGGGGAGCGAACAGG